rnacentral:rRNA from 1 species
GAUGAACGCUGGCGGCGUGCCUAAUACAUGCAAGUCGAGCGAACAGACGAGGAGCUUGCUCCUCUGACGUUAGCGGCGGACGGGUGAGUAACACGUGGAUAACCUACCUAUAAGACUGGGAUAACUUCGGGAAACCGGAUCUAAUACCGGAUAUAUAUUUGAACGCAUGGGUUCAUAGGGAAAGACGGUUUUGGUUUCACCUAGAUAUGGAUCCCGGCCGGAUUAGCUAGUUGGUAAGGUAAAGGCUUACCAAGGCAACGAUGCGUAGCCGACCUGAGAGGGUGAUCGGCCACACUGGAACUGAGACACGGUCCAGACUCCUACGGGAGGCAGCAGUAGGGAAUCUUCCGCAAUGGGCGAAAGCCUGACGGAGCAACGCCGCGUGAGUGAUGAAGGUCUUCGGAUCGUAAAACUCUGUUAUUAGGGAAGAACAAAUGUGUAAGUAACUAUGCACGUCUUGACGGUACCUAAUCAGAAAGCCACGGCUAACUACGUG